GAUGAACGCUGGCGGCGUGCCUAAUACAUGCAAGUAGAACGCUGAAGCUUGGUGCUUGCACCGAGCGGAUGAGUUGCGAACGGGUGAGUAACGCGUAGGUAACCUGCCUGGUAGCGGGGGAUAACUAUUGGAAACGAUAGCUAAUACCGCAUAACAGUAGAURUUGCAUGAYAUCURCUUGAAAGGKGCAAUUGCWYCACUACCAGAUGGACCUGCGUUGUAUUAGCUAGUUGGUGAGGUAACGGCUCACCAAGGCGACGAUACAUAGCCGACCUGAGAGGGUGAUCGGCCACACUGGGACUGAGACACGGCCCAGACUCCUACGGGAGGCAGCAGUAGGGAAUCUUCGGCAAUGGRSGGAAGYCUGACCGAGCAACGCCGCGUGAGUGAAGAAGGUUUUCGGAUCGUAAAGCUCUGUUGUAAGAGAAGAACGAGUGUGAGAGUGGAAARUUCACACUGUGACGGUAUCUUACCAGAAAGGGACGGCUAACUAC
rnacentral:rRNA from 1 species